AUGGCGAGGCGGUCGGUGCAUCGGAGGCAGGAGUUCAGCUUCGCCGGGGAUUCGCCGACGCCGUCGUGGCGCGCGGAGGCCGGCGAGGGGCGCGCGCUGCCGCCGCGGCCGCCGGUUGUGGCGACGGCGAACCCGAUGGCGCCGCGCGCGGGGGAGGAGGACUUCCGCUGGCUGCAGGCGUCCAGGCAAGGCUCGCCGGAGUCCGGCUCCGGCUCCGGCACGCCGUCGCCGCAGCUCUGGGCGCACCGCGAACACCACCACGACCGGCUGUACCCGGCCUCCGCUGGGAGCUCCCCGUCGCGCGCGCAGGCCAUCGCCGGCUACCGCCGCGAGAUGCUCGACCUCGUCCGCGGCCUCCCCGAGGCCGCCUACGAGCUCUCUCUCCGCGACAUCGUCGAGUCCCGGCCCUCCCCGCUGCCUCCUCCUCCACCGCCACCUCCGGCUCAACCCUACGCCGUCGCUACGCAAGAACAAGGAAACGGCGAGCCCAAGAAGGACGUCACGGCGGCGGCCAUGAACGGCGACGAGGCCAAGAAACAGAGCGACGGCGGGGGCAAGAAACAGGGGAAGGCAAGAAAGCAGAGGACGAUGGGGAGGACGCGAAGCCGGAGCAUGGAGCGCAGCGUGAGCCUGGACACCGGCCUGCUCAUCAAGCUCUUCCUGCCGCUCUCCGUCGGCCGGAAGAAGAAGGUGUCGCCCAAGCCCGCCGCGGUCGCCCCCGCCAAGGACGGCAGGAAGAAGACCAAGAAGAAGAAGAAGAAGGAGGGGAAGAAGGAGGACGAGGAGGAGUGGUGGAAGAAGAGCGAGUUCAGCGAGGCGGGGAGCAGCAGCAGGACCAGCAGCAGCGGCAGCAGCAACAGCAGCGCCAGCAGGAACAAUGGAAAUGGCGGCAGCGAUCCAAAAGCUCCGUCCAGGAGCAGGAGCAGAAAGAGAAUCGGGUGCUAUGGUUUCUUCCGGGCAAACAAGGGCAAAAAUGGAGUUAUCCAGGAAUAA
rnacentral:rRNA from 1 species